rnacentral:piRNA from 1 species
AGAUCUUAUCUCUGAGCAGCAAUACU